UGAUCUAGCCAAAGCCUGACCGU
rnacentral:miRNA from 1 species